rnacentral:rRNA from 1 species
UACGGAGGGUGCAAGCGUUAUCCGGAUUUACUGGGUUUAAAGGGUGCGUAGGUGGGUAGGUAAGUCAGUGGUGAAAUCUUCGAGCUUAACUCGGAAACUGCCAUUGAUACUAUUUAUCUUGAAUACUCUGGAGGUAAGCGGAAUAUGUCAUGUAGCGGUGAAAUGCUUAGAUAUGACAUAGAACACCAAUUGCGAAGGCAGCUGGCUACACAAUUAUUGACACUGAGGCUCGAAAGCGUGGGGAUCAAACAGG